CUCUUUUCUCAACACCGGCUCUUCCCUUCUCAUCAUCUUUCAAUAGAACAAAAUGAAAGAGAAAUAGAAAGAGAAAACCGAUAAGCUUAUUCACUUUUCUUCUUCUUCCUUUUCAUCAUCUUCUCAAAGUUGAAAUCUUUUGUUUUAUCUCCAUUUGUUUACGGUUAAUGAAUAAUUCCUGAUAACUUGAGGCGAUUCCAUUGGAUAAUCAAAAUGAUUAAUUUUCUUAAUCCAUGGUAACCUAAAUUCACCAACACAAAGAGUAUAAUGUUUCAACACCAAGGAAUUAACUAAUUUUCUAAUCAUCAACACCUUUAAUUACCUUUUACAUCACAAUUUUGAACAAAGAGAAUAACUUAGAAAAAGAAUAUUUUUCUUUUCUUUUCUAUUCUAUUUAGGAAAAAAAAAUUAUCUUAGUAACAAUUUAAUAUUCCAUAAGAUAAUCGACCAACUCCUUUAGACACAAAGUCUAGUCAAUUGGAGAAACAACAACAACAACAGUUAAUUAAUUAAUUGUUCCAGAAGAAACCAAAUCAAUCAAAACAAUUCCAGUUUAACCCCGAUGAAAGGGGAACCUUCAAAAUCUCAACUUAAUGAGAGAGUGACAAAAAUUGAUUACUUGGUUAAUUAUAUUCUUCUUGUCAAAAUGGAUCUUCAAGGUUUGUUGAUGGUUUCGUUGAUUAGUUAAUUUUGAUUCCAAAUGAUUAACAGUUCAAGUUGAAAUUCUAAAGGGAUGUUAUUGGAAAAAAAAGGAAAGAGAACAGAAAAUAAACUCGAAACGUUGGUCGCCAUUUUCUUUCAUUUGGCAAAGGAGCAAAAAUUGGUUAACCUUUGUGGUCAAAAUUAUUUUGGUGAAAUGAAAUGUGAGAAUUUUUUUUUCCUUUUUCUCAAUCAUUUUCUCUUUUGUGUCAAUAUUUUUUCUUCAGAGAAAGAUGAAGGUUUAAAGUGCAAGAUUAUUCCUCAUCAUUUACUCAAUCAUUUUCUCGCCAAAAACAAACAAAAUGGUUACCGUUAUAAAGAGAAUCAAAAGUCAAGAUUCAAGUCAGAGGUGAAGGUGAUAAUCACACUGGACAUACAAAGUUAAAUUACUAACGUUAUAUAAGAUUAAUGAACUAUUUUUGUGAUGUUAGUGGUGAUAUUGAUGACUCAGGUUCGCAAGGAACCAAAGAGAUAUCCUGUUUGUUUUAUUCUAACUGUUCAUGACGAGAUCAAUAUAUUGCAGGUCAUCCACCAGAAUACCAGGAGCAACCAAAUUAUUUUACUUUCGUUUUUCAGUCUAUUUCAUUUCUACUCUUUCUUGCAAUCUUUCAUCAAGCAUGUUAACCACGUGAAGAUUUACCAUGAAUAUCGUCCAAAAGAGUCAGAAGAGACAUGAAAUAUUCUGGUUAUAACAGUGAGCAUGAUUCAACCAUGAGAUUUCUAGGAACCAGAGGAUUGACAAACAGUUGAGAGCAGAAAGUUAAACAGGAGAUUGUUGAAAACACCAACCUGAUAUUUAACUCUACAUAUUGUACUUUUGUAUUAAUCAUCACAAUUAUAUGACAAUAAUUGGGUUACAACCACGGGAAUAUGUGAAAAUGAACAAGAAUUGAAAAAAAAGGAUUCAAUUGGAACAUGAUGAUCUAAGCAAAAUUAUCCUGCCUUGAUUGUUCAUUGAUGUAUUCAUGAGAAAGUUAAUUAUCUCACUUCAUGAUAUCAGCGACAUAUCCUAAAUGAAAAGAUUUCCUAUUGGGGUUAAAGGUAAAAACCAUCACCAAUCAUAAGGGUAGAGGUGCGAUUAUAAUGGUAAACUAAGGACAAUUGUGAUUUAAUCAAACUUUAAAUCAUUUGUAAAUUCAUUCGUUCAUAUUGUUCAUGAAUGAUGAAUUGUUGAUGAAUGAUCAGAUAGCCUAGUAAUGUCUCUGUAAUUAUCUGUUCAAGAACUAGAGUUUUGGGUGUGUACCUUGAACAUAUUAUGCAAAUAGGAAGUAAUCAACUUGAAACUAUUGUCUCUUGAUGUCUUCAUUUUGUUGAAAAUUUAAUUACCUCAAAGUUAAUCAAUCUUAUUGCUCUAAUUUCUAGGUGAUCAUUGAUGGAUUCAAAGUAUUAACCAAAUGGUUUCAAUGGUUUACAAUUUCACUUUGGAAACAAUUAAUCUUUCAUGUCAAUUGUUCAGGAUAAUUUGAUUUCUGGUCAAAUCACUAUCAACAAGGAAUGAAUUGAUUUCUAGAAUCAUCAUACGACAUGAUUGAUAAUUGCCAGAUGAAUCAACAAAACUUCAGAGUUAAUUUGAAAGUUUAAAGUCAAUUGUUUCCUGUUUCUAACAAUCUAAAAAUCAGUAAUCAAUUAUUCUGAUUAGUUUUGAUUAAGUUUCUUUUUUUUGUUAUAAUGGCUUAUAAUUAACUUUUUGACUUAAUCAAAUUGAGAAUAUCACACAAAAAGCUGGUUUAAUUAGUGAUCGAUCAAUAACUGAUUGAUUUAAUUCAGUUUUACACAAUCAAAGAAGACACAAGUUCAACAAUAGGAAAAUCUAAUGACGGAUCAGUUAAUUGUGUUUCAAGCAAUGACAAAGAUAAUUGUUGUUAAAAAAAAUUAUCAGAGUCAUUCUGUUAACAAUUAACUUCCUCAAUAAACAUUAAUUAACACAAUCCUAAGGUUAUUAAUAAUAAUCUGUUAAUUACAAUGUUUCUAAUCACAAUUAACAUCUAUCACACCUUCAAGUUUAACCAACAACUGUAAUAAUAUAACGAUGGUGAUGAUGAUUUGAUUAACCUUGACAAUUAACUAACCAAAAACUAAAAUGGAGUAACUUUUAUCAUUCGUAUGUUUUACAAUCUAAUUGUCACAAUUAAGAAAGGUAAUCGUUUUAAUUGUGUCUUACACUAGACGGCGAAAGGUAAUCACAAUUAAAAGGAACCCAAUUUACUAUCACAUUAACAGCAAUUAACCAGUUGUAAUAAUUAAUUGAUGUCUAAAUAUUUAGAUAACUAAAUCAAAUGGUCAAUCGCCUCACAAUCAAGAUAAAAAUAAAUAAAUAUAAAUCAAAUUAUAAUCACAAUUAGACAGAUAAUUUAACCCAUAGCAACAAUUAAUCAUCCACUUAAUUAUUAGGAAAAUUUGUUUAAAUGAAAACAAAAUUUGAUUAACUAUCUAAAUGUAUUAGAAAUCAACUAAUAAUUAAUGAGAGAGAAAGUUUAAUAUUCAUUAAAUCAUCAUGAUUGACAGUUCGCAAUUUUAAUUUGAUUAAAUUUGUCAAUUAAAUCUGAUGAUUAAGAUUAAGAUUAUGAUUAAAUCAAUAGUUGUAUUGAUCAAAGUUCAAUAAGAUAUUGGAUUGAUUAUCUCAUCUUACCAGAAGCGUUAUGAACAAUUUAAGCUAAUUGUAAUCUACUCUCUCGAUUGCAUAGGAAAAAAAGAGAGAAUUGUUGAAUUAAGUUAAUUCAACAAUUAAGUAAUUAUUACAACAAUUUAUCAAUUACAAUCAGACUCUGAACAGAUAACAAAUUAAACCAGAAAACCAGAAAUUGAAGUUAUCCUUCAAUAGGGAAACAUAACCAAAAGUACCAAGAGUUGAUUGUUACAUAUUUAUUAAAAGUAACUCUUAGUUUUUUUUAAGAUGAUUAAGAUAAAUUGUUGAUCUUUAAUCAUGAUAAUUAACUAGAUAUUUAUUAUUAAAUCGUACGAUGUUAUAAUAAUAUUAAUAUUAGUAAAGUGGGAGAGGUUUAAAAUGUUAGAGGGAAACGAAAAAGUUUCUUAAAAAACGAAACGAAUCAAUAAAUUUCGGCUCAUAACAAGAUUGACUCUCGACAAGUUUUAAUAAUCAACAGUGAUUAAAUUGAUCAGUGUUAAAUUGUGUGGUUCAAGUUAAUUGUUAAUCAUGAGUGAACAAAAUAAUAAUAAAUUGUCCGAUGAAUUUGU